CCCCGCCCACACGUGCCGCUGCCUCGCAGGAAAAUGUUCAUCGGCGGUCUGAGCUGGGACACGAGCAAGAAAGACCUGACCGAGUACCUGUCCCGCUUUGGAGAGGUUGUGGACUGCACGAUUAAAACCGACCCGGUGACCGGGAGGUCGCGGGGCUUCGGGUUCGUGCUUUUCAAGGACGCUGCCAGCGUGGAGAAGGUGCUGGAGCUGAAGGAGCACAAGCUGGAUGGAAAGCUGAUCGAUCCCAAGAGGGCAAAAGCCCUCAAGGGGAAAGAGCCGCCCAAGAAGGUGUUUGUUGGUGGGCUGAGCCCGGAUACCUCUGAAGAGCAGAUCAAAGAGUACUUUGGUGCUUUUGGAGAGAUCGAAAACAUUGAGCUUCCCAUGGACACAAAGACAAAUGAAAGGAGGGGCUUCUGCUUUAUCACAUACACAGAUGAAGAGCCAGUAAAGAAGUUACUAGAAAGCAGAUACCAUCAGAUUGGUUCAGGCAAGUGUGAGAUCAAAGUAGCGCAGCCCAAAGAGGUGUACAGGCAACAGCAGCAGCAACAGAAAGGAGGAAAAAGCAAUGCGUCUGGUGGACGAGGCGGUGGAAGGGGACGUGGACGGGGUCAGGGUCAAAACUGGAAUCAAGGAUUCAAUAACUAUUACGAUCAAGGAUAUGGAAACUACAAUAGUGCUUACAGUGAUCAAAGCUACAGUGGCUAUGGAGGAUAUGACUACUCUGGGUACAACUAUCCCAAUUACGGAUAUGGACCGGGAUACACAGAUUACAGUGGUCAACAAAGCACAUACGGAAAGGCGUCCCGUGGUGGCGGCAAUCACCAAAACAACUACCAGCCGUACUAAAGCUGUACCUUGUCCCUGAGGAAACAGCGGGAACUUCAUUGCAGGCCGUGUGUCACCCUGACCACGUCUAUCUCUGGGGUCGCACGUUGCAGGCAGAGCGCAAGGCAUACACCAGAAAACGCUGUCCUGUGGUAGAGAUGCUGCAGCAAAGACACCUUGCAAAGCAUCGGGCAUCAGUGGAGGGUGGUCUUCGUGAGAGGAAAUGACUAUUUUGUAAAAGACUUUUAGUGUAUGACACAACUGUGUCCAACUGUAUAUAGCGGCCGACUAGUUUUCUUUUAUGGUUUUUACUUUCUUUUUUUUGCCAUUCAUGUUGCGAAUGUGGAAUUGUGUUUAUACAAAGUUUAUUUGUAUAAUUUCAUGUUAAAGGAUUCUCUAAUAAAUGCUUCCUGAAGUGAAUAUA